rnacentral:tRNA from 1 species
UGCCCGGUGGUGUAAUGGUAGCACAGCGGCCUUUGGAGCCGUUAGUCUUGGUUCGAGUCCAGGCCGGGCAGCCA